rnacentral:rRNA from 1 species
CCUACGGGCGGCAGCAGUCGAGAAUCAUUCACAAUGGGGGAAACCCUGAUGGUGCGACGCCGCGUGGGGGAAUGAAGGUCUUCGGAUUGUAAACCCCUGUCAUGUGGGAGCAAAUUAAAAAGAUAGUACCACAAGAGGAAGAGACGGCUAACUCUGUGCCAGCAGCCGCGGUAAUACAGAGGUCUCAAGCGUUGUUCGGAAUCACUGGGCGUAAAGCGUGCGUAGGCUGUUUCGUAAGUCGUGUGUGAAAGGCGCGGGCUCAACCCGCGGACGGCACAUGAUACUGCGAGACUAGAGUAAGGGAGGGGGAACCGGAAGUCUCGGUGUAGCAGGGAAAUGCGUAGAUAUCGAGAGGAACACUCGUGGCGAAGGCGGGUUCCUGGACAUUAACUGACGCUGAGGCACGAAGGCCAGGGGAGCGAAAGGGAUUAGAUACCCCUGUAGUC